rnacentral:rRNA from 1 species
AACGAACGCUGGCGGCAUGCCUAACACAUGCAAGUCGAACGAGACCUUCGGGUCUAGUGGCGCACGGGUGCGUAACGCGUGGGAAUCUGCCCUUGGGUACGGAACAACAGUUAGAAAUGACUGCUAAUACCGUAUGAUGUCUUCGGACCAAAGAUUUAUCGCCCAGGGAUGAGCCCGCGUAGGAUUAGCUAGUUGGUGAGGUAAAGGCUCACCAAGGCGACGAUCCUUAGCUGGUCUGAGAGGAUGAUCAGCCACACUGGGACUGAGACACGGCCCAGACUCCUAUGGGAGGCAGCAGUGGGGAAUAUUGGACAAUGGGCGAAAGCCUGAUCCAGCAAUGCCGCGUGAGUGAUGAAGGCCCUAGGGUUGUAAAGCUCUUUUACCCGGGAUGAUAAUGACAGUACCGGGAGAAUAAGCCCCGGCUAACUCCGUGCCAGCCGCCCGCCGUAACAC